GAGUUAGGGAGGGAGUGGGUGACACAGUGACAGAGUUAGGGAGGGAGUGACUAGUGACAGAGAGAGGGAUGGGGUGACUAGUGACAGUCACCACCUCCCUCACUCUGUCACUAGUCACCACCUCCCUCCGUCACUGUGUCACCCCCUCCCUCACUCUGUCACCAGUCAUCCCCUUACUCUGUCACUAGUCACCCCUCCCUUCCCUCACUCUGC